AUAAAGCACAAAUUGUGUACAAACCUUUGCUUAAUGUAUGGUACUUCACAAAAAUAAUAUAUGAAUGGUCUGUUUUUAUUUUCACAAAUAAUAUAUUGAUCAUGAAAAGGUUUCUGCAUAAGUAAUAAAUAGAUGAAAUUGAAAAGGUGUAUACCUUUGCGUCCCCACUGAUUUGGUACCGGUAUAAAAUUGUCAUAAUGAAUCAUUACAAAUCUUUUAUGUGUGUAUAUCAAGAGAGUUAUAUUUGUUGUUUUCUAACAGAAGUCAUUGACAAAGUACUACUCUUAUAAAUGCAUAUUUAUUUAUUUUUUUUUUUAUAAUAAUACUUCUUGUUGAAUUUUUUUCUUAUUUUUGAUGUCGACAAUUUCAAAUAAAAUAAUAAGACGAAGACUGACAUUGACCUGACUGAAAUGAAAAUGUAGCUAGUCACAAUAAAAAAGGGGUAUUGACAUAUGUUUAAAAUGGUGAUAAUUGUAACCCUAUCUGUACGGUAAAAAAACCCCCCAAAUCAUAAAGUUAGGAUCAAUUGAACAUGGUAACAAAAAAAUGUGUUCUAUUGUUGACUGAAUCAAGGGAUUUAUCCCUUGUAUUGAACCAAUUCCUUAUUGUAGUAACCUUGUAAAAAUAUAUUUCAGUAUUUGCAUUGAAAGAGCUGUAGGAACUAAUUACCGGCAUUGAUUGAGUAAUCAAAAAACCAACAUAUAAGUGGUAGGUUGUAAAUUAAAGUAAUGCAUCCUUUAGUGUAGGAUUCAGAUAAAGAAAUGAAAUAUGCUUUUAAGGCAGUCAAUAGUAAAUAGGUAUAGAUUAUGUGUUAGGAAAAAUAUAUUUAAAAAAAACUUGAUAGGAAUGAAAUUAAGGUUAGGUGUAAGGUAAAUUUAUGAUCAUGUAGAAAAAAAAUGUUUUUUUUUUGCUUGGAAAAUUAGUAUGAAAUGUCUUUAUUGAAAAUGGAAUCACUAAAUGAUCCUAAUACUGCACCCUUCGGGUAGCAGAGAAUUAUAGUUGUCUCUCAAUGUUUAGUCAGAACAUACCUUUGCGCUCCACAUGCUUCUUAUCUAGAUGUAUUAAAAAUCAGUUAGUUAAGAAAAAUCUCCAUUCCAGAUACAUCAUUCUGCACUCAAGAUAGUCCAUGUUAGGUGUAUUCAGAUCAAAUAGUUUAUUGAAAAUAUACCUUAGUAUUCCAGAUAGUAUUUCUACUAGGUGAUUUCAGACCAGUUAGUUUAGUCACAACAUCUGCGAUCCAGAUACUCCUCCAGUAGAAAAACUCAGAUGAAUAAGUUAAGUCGUAACAUACCUAUGCCAUCCAGGUAAUCCUCCGCUAGGUGUAUUCAGAUCAAGAUAGACCUUUGAUAGGAACAUUUAGAUCAAAAAGUUUAGUCACACUAUACCUAUGUGCUCCAGAUACUCCUCUGCUAGGUGUAUGAAUAACAUAACUCUGCGCUCCAGAUAGUUCCCACUAGGUGUAGUCAGAUAAAUAAGUUAAGUGAAAACAUUCCGCUGUACUCUACCCGCUAGGUGUUUUCAGAUAAGUAAGUUGUGAAAAUAUAUAGUUGUACUCUAGAUGCUCGUCUGCUAGGUGUAUUCAGAAUAUAACUCUGCGCUCCAGAUUGUUCCUGCUAGAUGUAUUCAGAUAAACAAGUUUAAUAAAAACAUACCGCUGUACUCUAGAUACUCACUGCUAAGUGUAUUCAGAUCAUAGACCUUAGUCAUAACGUACCCAUGUGCUUCAGAUGCUCCUGCGCUAGGUGUAUAAACAUAAAUAAGUUUAGUCGGGACAUACCUAUGUGCUCCAGAUGCUUCUCUGCUAGGUGAGACCAAUUAAUUAAGUCACAUUUCCACUCCAGAUACUUCUCUGCUAGGUGUAUUUAGAUCUCUUAGUUUAGUGAAAACAUACAUCUGCACUCUAGAUACUGAUUCUACUAAGGUGUAUUUUGUUCAAAUAGUUUAUUCAGAACAUAAGUCUGCGAUCCAAAUAAUUCUUCGUUAGCUGUGUCCAGAUUAAUUAGAACAGAAAACUAUUUGUUUUUAAUUUUCCCAUUUGUUUUAGCGAGAUCAUACCUUUGCGCUCCAGAUAUUUCUUCGUUAGGUGAAUGCCUGGAAAAAACACCUAGUUAAAUGAUAUACUUCUGACAAAGCACAAAUUGUGUACAAACCUUUGCUUAAUGUAUGGUACUUCACAAAAAUAAUAUAUGAAUGGUCUGUUUUUAUUUUUACAAAUAAUAUAUUGAUCAUGAAAAGGUUUCUGCAUAAGUAAUAAAUAGAUGAAAUUGAAAAGGUGUAUACCUUUGUGUCCAAUAUAAUUCUAUUAGAAUGGUAUGCAAAAAAUAAUUUUGUUGAUAAAAUCCUUUCCUCUUCUGUAUUUUGCCUUGGAUAUAACCUCUUUCAAUGGCAGAUUUGUCCAUUCUUUUCUCAUUGCUUUAUCUGUCUAUUAUUCUUUUUCCUGGUACUUUUCCCUGAAUGAAAAUCUUUGCAAGCCCUGAAGACUUAUUACUAUGGCCUUUGUUGGCUGUUUUAAUAAACAAUUAUUAACUAAUAACUAAUAGGUAAAUAAAUGCUAAUGCUCCUUGUUCCAUUUUUUAUAUGAUGUUUUUUCUAGCUAGAUGUUUAAGCUUGGCAUCGCAUUCAGGCCAUACUUUUAUUCAAAGUUUGUAUUAGUAACCUCCUAUCAUUAUCAAUCUUAUUUCUGUGAUGAAUUACUCUCUGAAUUGAACAUUUUAUUACUACACAUUCAAAGUCACUCGUACAAUGGAGAACUUUGUCUACUCUAAUCUUAAUGUUUAUCAGUUCUCUUAAAGGCAUUAAUGAAUUGAUAACUUCUGGUUUGAACUUACUCUGUUCUAAUUUGGCAAUGUUACCAAUGCUUAUUUUAAAUUACAAAAGAAUGGAUAAGUAACUCUAAAAUCUUGCUAUACAUUUCUUUCUGAAGUGGUUGAUGAAAUAAUUACAUACUCUAUCUUUAUCAUUGUUUAAAAAGAUCCACUAGGGAAAAGAGUUGAUUUUUUAAACUUUUAUCUUACUCUAAUCUAAAUUCUUAUUUUUAUCAAAUUUUUUUUAAAGCCAUUAGAAAAAUGGAUAAUUAACUUUGAAAUUUGUAUCUUACCAUAUUAUGUUAUAUUCAUAAAUCUUACAAUUCUAAAUCUCUUAGUGGUUGAGGAAAUAAAGACAUUAACUAGACAUAUAAUUACUAAUGCUGUUUGACAAAAAUACAUUUUAGUGAGCUGGUUCACUUGGACAUAAUAAUAUCAUUGAUUAAUUAAAGAACAUAUCUAACAUACACAUACAUAUAUAUAUAUAUAUAGCUACAAGAAUAGAGAUGAAUGCUUGGAAUUGGCUAUGGUCAGAAGGAUGUUUGUUUUGGAAAUAAUUCACACAAAAGUAAGGUUUGAGACAAAUUAAUGGAGUUAGGAAAAACAAUGGUGCUUAGGGAAGGCAAAAAGGAAAUACAAAACAUGGAAGCUAAUGAAAUGUAAAUAGGAAAUACAAAACAGUGGAGCUAAGGAAAUGUAAAUAGGGAAUACAAAACAGUGGAGCUAAGGAAAUGUAAAUAGGAAAUACAAAACAGUGGAGCUAAGGAAAUGUAAAUAGGAAAUACAAAACAGUGGAGAUAAGGAAAUGUAAAUAGGAAAUACAAAACAGUGGAGCUAAGGAAAUGUAAAUAGGAAAUACAAAACAGUGGAGCUAAGGAAAUGUAAAUAGGAAAUACAAAACAGUGGAGCUAAGGAAAUGUAAAUAGGAAAUACAAAACAGUGGAGCUAAGGAAAUGUAAAUAGGAAAUACAAAACAGUGGAGCUAAGAUAAUGUAAAUAACAAAUACAAAACAGUGGAGCUAAGGAAAUGUAAAUAGGAAAUACAAAACAGUGGAGCUAAGGAAAUGUAAAUAGGAAAUACAAAACAGUGGAGCUAAGGAAAUGUAAAUAGGAAAUACAAAACAGUGGAGCUAAGGAAAUGUAAAUAGGAAAUACAAAACAGUGGAGCUAAGGAAAUGUAAAUAGGAAAUACAAAACAGUGGAGUUAAGAAAAUGUAAAUAGGAAAUACAAAACAAUAUAGCUAGGGAAAUGAAAAUAGGAAAUACAAAACAGUGGUGCUUAGGGAAUGCAAAAAGGAAAUACAAAACAAAGGAGCUAAUGAAAUGUAAAUAGGAAAUACUAAACAGUGGAGCUAAUGAAAUGUAAAUAGGAAAUACUAAACAGUGGAGUUAAGGAAAUGUAAAUAGGGAAUUAAAAAAAACCCAGUGGAGCUAUGGAAAUGCAAAUAGAAAAUACAAAACAGUGGAGCUAAGGAAAUGCAAAUAGGAAAUACAAAACAAUGGAGCUAAGGAAAUGUAAAUAGCAAAUACAUAACAAAGGAGCUAAUGAAAUGUAAAUAGGAAAUACAAAACAUCGGAGUGAAGGAAAUGCAAAAAGGAAAUACAAAACAUCGGAGUGAAGGAAAUGCAAAAAGGAAAUACAAAACAAAGAAGCUAAGGAAAUGUGAAUUGGAAAUACUAAACAAUGAAGCUAAGGAAAUGUAAAUAGGAAAUACAAUACAAUGGAGCUAAGGAAAUGUAAAUAGGAUAUUUAAAAAGUGGAGCUAUAGAAAUGCACUGGAAAACAAAACAGUGGCGAUUAGGAAAAUUCAAAUAGCAAAUACAAAGCAAUUGAGUUUAUUUAAUGCAAAUAGAAAUAAUAAAACAAUGGAGCUUAGGAAAUGUUAUUAGGAAAAACAAAUUAAUGGGAGAUUAAUUUGGAAAUGUAAAAUUAUACCACUUCGGGAUAUAUAGGCUUGCCAUUGUUGUGUCUGUGACUGGUGCUGCAUAUGUGAGCCUAAAAUUGGAGACAUGCAUACUGGGCAUGCUAUUGUAGCUUUGGAUUGACUCUGUUAUGAUACUCUUCUGCAAUGGCUGCUUUGUUGUCUUCAAUGAUUUUUAUGGUGUCAUAAUGUUGUAUCUAUUGAUUUAGUCUCCCUAGAGGCUUCUUUUACAAGUUUGGGACAGAGUUCUUUUUGUCAAUCAUUUUGAGCUUACUUUCUGUUUGCUAGCUGGCCAAAACGGAUGUGUCAUGCCCACCUUAGUUGAGAUUGUAUAAGGUUUGUGUAUGUUCUUUACAACCCUGUUUUUAGGAGGUAUUCUUUGAAGUCUUGCCACUUAAUACUUGUGGUUUUAUCUUUGGUUUGACUUAGAGUCAAUGGGGUUAAAGAGACAACAAUCAUUUUGAAACCUCAUAAUUCUUCUAUCUCCAAUAUAUUUCCCUGAAUGCACCUGUCAUCAUAGGGGAAAAGACUGAAUAUCUAGAGUGCCAAGACAAAUCUCUGUUUAUACCCAUUAAGUAAAUGACCUCUCCUGAUCAUAAACUUUCAUUUCACUGUGAAAACUCUCAAAAUUAUUUGGUCAUAAAUGGAGAUACUUACAAAUGAAAGUAACACACUCUAAAUCAAUGUUAGAUAAAUUAAAAAUUUUUUAGAUAAAAAAAAAUGUUUGAAACAUUUUAGCAUUCAUAAUUGUAAUUAGAAAGAAAAUACAAUUGAAAGCAGAGGAAUAAUAAAAACUGAAGCACUCUAAUUUAUAAUGUUAAAGUUUAAUUAUGUGCACAUACUGAUAUUAUGGCCUUAAAACUAAAUAAAACUUGCCUCAACAUUGUCUCCAAGCUUUUAACUAUGGUACCAGUCUUAAAAAGUCAUAUCAGCAUCAAUAAAGGAAAUAUCACAGCAUUGAAACUCCAGAACCAUUGUGGAUUGAAGAUAUUGAUCUACUUCACAAAGUCUUUGAAUGUUUGUCAACUUAAACAAGAUUAUUGCACCUCAAAUCUGUCACAUGUUCAGUUUCUCUGGUAUUUUUAUAAAUUAGAUGUCUUAAUGACUAAAUAGUUGCCUUCUUAAACACUCCUUAUUUUCUUAUGAGUGUAAAAUGGCAAUACUGAGCUGUGUGAUGUGUUCAUUCUGUGUUUCUGGUAAAGUAGAUUCAUACCGCCACAUUUUCUGCAUAGAUCUCAGUUCCAUUUUUUCCCCUCUUAGUUCUGUUUUAGUAUGUACAUGCAGUCUGAGGUCCUUGUUUUCUCUUGGCCUUUAAGAUAUGGAGUUUGUGAACGACCUGCAUUCUACAUUGAGAACAUAAAAACGUUACAAUUUUAUUUAAAUUAACUUACUAUCCGAUCAUGCUUGUCUUUAUUAUUUCUGUUAAAAGCCUAAUAUACUCUGUGUUAUGAAUUAUGGUACUUGUAAUUGGAAUAAUUUUUUUUUAUUGUUUUGGGGGUUAUGUGAAAGAAUAUGAAGUAUCAGAUGCACUUGUUAGUAUUUUGAAGAUAAAUAUUCAAGCUUUGAAGAAAUGUGUUAGAAUAAUGAAACAUGAAAGUAGCCUAAAUUGAAAACACUGGCAUUUUAAAGUUGGACCUGGAAAUCUUUUGUACAAGUAUUUUGACAACAAGUAGACUAGGGAAUGAGAAUAUUAUUGGUAUGCUUUUGUGUUAUUUUUUGUUUUGUUUUGCAUCAAAGAUGAAGAUAUUAUUUUUGGACAUUUGCUGGACAUUUGAUAAAUGAGGACAUGGGAGAUACAAUGAGAAAGUAGGAAAAACUUGUUAAAUCACGAUUGUAAAAAAAAAGGAUUUGAAAGAACUUGUAUAAAUGAGGAGUAAAAGUUACUUGUAGUAUAAAGAUUUUUAAUUAAAUGAGGAAGUGGAAGAUAAUUGUGGCCUAAAGAUUGUUAAAUGAGGAAGUGGAAGAUAAUUGUAAGAUUGUUAAAUGAGGAAUAGACGUUAUACCAGUACCAGUAGGUUAAAUGAAUAUGACACGGCAUGAAACUGUUUAAUUAAGAAGAUUUUUUUAAAAACUUAGUAUGAUUAAACUAGGAAAUUUGGAAAAGUAUGAUUAAACUAGGAAAUUUGGAAACGGAAACUUUAAAUUGAGAAUUGGUUUAUGAGGACAUGGAAAAUACUUAAGUGAGGAAGAAGAGGAAACUUUUGAAAUGGAUUGUUUAAAGAGAAAGUGGAAAAUAGUGUGUAGGAUAAGUGUCAAAUGAGGAAAUUGAAUAAACUAAUGACAUAAGGAUUGUUAUAUGAAAUGAAAUAUAGAUGUUAAAUGAGAAUUGUUAAAUGGGGAUGUCAUAUGGAAGAUGUUUGAUGAAUAAGGAAGUGCACAAGUGGCAUAAGUAUUGUUGUAUUGAAAAUACUUGAUAUUGUUAGCUAAGAGAAUGGAAUAUACUGUAAGUGGAAGAUAUUCAUUAAAUGAGGAAAUGGAAGAUACUUGUUUAAUUAUAACUGGAAGAUACCGGUACUGUUUAAAUGAGGCAGUGGAAGAUCUUUAAUUAAAUGUGUAUUAGAUGCCAUUUUAUUAGACUUAUCUAUUAGAUGUCAUUUUAUUAGAUUUAUCUAUUAGAUGUCAUUUUAUUAGAUUUAUCUAUUAGAUGUCAUUUUAUUAGACUUAUCUGAAUGGUAGCUCACCAUCAAAGCUAGCCUAAAAAGUUAAAAUAUCAUUGGUCAUUGGAUUAAAAUAUCAUUGGUCAUUGGAUUCAGGAUUGUCUGAUAGGUAUCAAAACAAACUCUAAUAAUAAAUGGCUUCCAUCACCUAUAACUCAAUGUACAUUGAGGAACAAUAUAAAGCUCACUACUACUUCUAAUUCACAUAAAUGAGACCAUCCUAAUUGCAGUACCGUACUUCAGGAACAAAAGUUAAGACUAUUUGCAUAUGAUUGCAUAAUAUAUAGCAAAAAAAACCAAUACAAGAUACUGGUAUUGAAAUUUUACAAAGAAAAUUAUAAGAAUUUCAGAAAUGGGAAAAAGCCUAUUAAUGAAAGUAAUAAAAAAAAUUUGAACAAAAUAAAAACUAGUUACGAAAUUCAAAAUGCCUAGAUGGUUUAAUAAAUAAAAUGUUAACAUGGAACCCGCAUAUUGAUGAAAUUAUUUAAAAAAUCAAAGUAUUUGAAUUUAUUAAAAAGUUUUUACAAAUCAAGAACAUAAAAUUAAAAUGCUACUAACCUCAAAGUUAAUGAGAGUGUCAUGUGGCUAGUAAAAAGACCGCCUUUACUUUUCCCCAACUGAUGUCUGGUACCCAUUUUAGCUGGGUGGACUCAGAGGCGCCUUAAAGAUCCCAAAAUUAAAAACUCCACAGUCUUUACCAGGAUUUAAACUUGGGAUGCCUCGGAGUGAAAGUCAAGCAUUUUACCAUUCAGCCACUGUGUCUCUAUUUAACCUUGGUUAGAUCAAUAUUUAAUAUGAAUCCUGUGAAAUAGAGCUGUAAGAUUUAUAACAGACAAAUAUUUACAUUUGAUUAUAGUAACAACAUUAGUAAAAUCUCUAAAUUUAGAUACACUUGAGGACAAAAGACUGGCCAAUAGCAAUAAUACAUAAAAUACUAAAGCUGAUCAUUUAAAUAUAAAAAAAAAAUAACCUUAUAAAAUAUUGAGAAAGACAUUGAGAUAAUGGCAUAUUUUUCUUUUCAUAUGCUACAACAAAUUUGUACAAAAGCUCCUUCUUCCCUAAUGCUAGUAGAACAUGAAGUGGGUUUUCUGCCUUACUGACUUCGCAGAGUUGAAGUCUCUAACACAACUAGAUUAACACAUGGAUGUAAUUUAGAAGAUAAGAAUGACGAAAUGGAAUGUUGUUUGAGAAAGUGGGAAUACUAGUUAAAGAGGAAGUGGAAUGAAUGAGGACAUUGAAGAUAGGUACUUGUCAAAUGAGUUAGUGGAGAAUACGUGAGAGAAAAAAAGUGGAAAUACUUAUGGACUGAGGAAGUAAAAGAUACUUUAACUAGAAGAUACUUGUUAUAUGAGAAAGUGAAAGAUAUCAGUAUUUGUUUAUUAAGGAAGUGAAGGAUACUUGUUGGAUGAGAAAGGGCAGAAUAUUUGUCAAACCUGAAACUAAGUGAAAGGUACCUGUAAGUGAUACCCCAGUAGUUAAAUAGGGAACUUAAGGAUUGUCAAUAGAAGUGGAAGAAGAUAGGUUAAUAAAUGAGUUAGUGGAAGAUAUUGUGAAAUGAGGUUGUUGAAAAUGCUUAUUGAUUGAGGAAGUGGAUGAUAUUUGUUAAUUUAGUAUUGUUAAAUGGGGAAGUCGAACAUACCUAUUUUUUUAUGAUUGAUUAAAUGGGAACGUGGUUCAGAAUGAGGAAGUGGAAUACAUAUGUUAAAUAUACCGAUAUAAUAAUAAUAAUUUUAUUUAUAAAGCGCUGUUAACAAACAAAAUGUAGGCUCAAGGCGCUGUAAUAACAUUACAGACAUAAACACAAUGACUAACAAAUGUAAAAAAGUUUUAAACUGAUAGGUCUUAAUGUUCUUCUUGAAAGUAGUGUAGUAUGUUGUCUGUCUGAGAUCAAUGGAGAAUGAUGGUCAAAACUUGGGAUAUUUGGCUGAGAGGCCAAAACUGCUUGGGUAUGGCUUGAGCAUCCCUAAAGGAAGCACGGAAACCUUCUCACAAUUAAACAAUAUGGAAUGAGAAAAUGGAAGAUAAUUGUCAAAUGAGGAAGUGAAAGAUAUUUGUUCAAUAAGGAAGAGGAUGAUGAUGCUUGUUAAAUGAAGUUGAAUAUAUUUGGCAUAUGAGAUAAUGGUUGUGGAAAUAAUUGUUACAAAUGGAUUUUUGAAAAGAAAAAUAAAGGGAAAGAUGUUUGAUACUGUUUAGUGAUAAAGUAGAAAUACUUGUCAAAUGAGUUGUGGAAUGAGAAUUGAAAAGAUAUGUUUAAGAGGAUUGUUUAAUUAGGAAGUUAAAUUUAUUUAUUACUGUAGGUACAUAAAGAUUUUUGUGUUGCUAAAUAAAGAUACUAGAUACUGUUAAAUGAGGAAGUCAAAGAUAAUUGUCAUUUAAGGAAAUGGAAGAUACCUUUUGAAUUUAAAAAGAAAAUGGAAGAUACUUGUUGAAUGAGAAAGGAAGUGAAAGCUAUUUGUUAAUUGAAGAUAGAUUUUUAAAUGAGAAAGUGGAAUAUACUUGUUACAAACUGGUAAGAAUAGUGUUGCUAAAUAAAAGGAAAGAUACAUGAUACUAUUAUUAUGAAGUGGAAGAUACUUGCCAAAUGAGAAGGGUGUGGAUAAAACUUUUUCUGAUUAGGAAAUUGAAAGAUACCUGUUCAUUGCAGAUAGUGGCUGUGAGUUUUCACUAGAAAAUGCGGUAUUUGUAUUUAUUUCUAGUUCUUUCAUUUAUUAACAGGAUAAAGAGCUGCAUUUUUGUUUGGGAUCAACUUAUCUUACUUAUCUAGUUUGGCGUUGAGAUUUAGAUGUGUUGCGAUGACAUGUAAAAUAGCCAAAUCCCACAACCAUGAGGAGUUGUUCAGUUGAGGCAAUAGCUUUGAUUUCAAUCAUAAAAAUUUCAAUUUCUUGUCUCAAAUGAGUUUAGUAGUUUUCCUUUGCUUAACAAACACAUUAAUUAAGAAUUCAUAUUAAAUCUUGAAAAGUUUUAUGGUUCAAUGCCUGUGUGUGGUUCAAUGCCUGUGUGUGGUUCAAUGCCUGUGUGUGGUUCAAUGCCUGUGUAUGGUUCAAUGCCUGUAUGUGGUUCAAUGCCUGUAUGUGGUUCAAUGUCUGUGUGAUUUGAUGAAAUCUGUUGUGCUGGACACCAUCAUCAAAUAAUCCCCAGGGUUAACUUCUUGCCACUGUUUGUAAAUAAUGCAAUGAAACCAUCCUUUUGACAAAUUUUCUAAUAAUUCUUGCUGCCAGUCUGACACCCAGCCAUACUUCUGGUGCAUCAGUAGUCACUCUACUAAUAUCCUCUAUGAUGGUUGAAAGUUAUUUAAACAGGUCUUUGCCAGUGAUGGUUCCAUGCAUGCAUCUCAUAGCAGCCAACUCUUUUUGUGAUUUCCUGUUUGCAUUGCAAGUGUUGUCAGAUAUGCAUGUGGACUUGUUAGCAGCAAUUUGAAAUGUGCUUUGUCUCUUAACCCAUUCCUUACACCCACCUUAACAUUGUCAUGGGAGAAAGGCUGAUGUCUUCAACUUCUUCCCAGGGUACAUUUCUUCCAUCACUGUUAGACACUUUUUUUUUUACUCCUUUGCCUUUGGAAUAUGAUGGGAAAAAAGAGAGUUCCAUAUUCAUUGUGGUGAAAACAUUUUUUAUCUAUUUUGAUAUUAUACACUUUGUACCAAUGAUAGCUGGCCAAAUACUAUUGCAUCUAAGUGUUUGGAAGAUACUUUUUAAAUAACUAAGUAAAAGAGAUUUGUUGAAUGAGUGAGUAGGAAAACAUUUUUUAAAGAAGGAAAUAAAAGAGUAACUUGUUCUAUAAGUUAAUGUUACAUGUACUCAUUAAUCAGGAAGCAGAAGACACUAAAUGAAGAAAUAGUAGAUAAUUAUUAAAUUGGAUAGAGGAAAUACUUCAUUAAUGACUAAAUGAAGACAUAUUUGUUUAAAAAAAAAAGAGUGACUUUAUUGAAAAAGGAAAGGCGAGAUACUUGUUCAAUAAGAAAUUGGAAGGUACUUGGUAACAGACUAUAUGGAAUACAUAUGUUAAAUAAAGAGAUUGAGGAGAAUAUAGAUACAUGUCAAGGGAGAAAAUUGGAGAAACUUGUUAAACGAGGAAAUGGCAGAUACUUGUUUAAUGCAAACUUUUGAAAUUGCAGAACUACAUAUGAAACGAGUAAAUGAGAGAGAACAAAGAAACAAAAGAAAAUGGAAGAAAUUAAUUAUUUAUGUUGUUACGAAUCUCACUAUCCAGGCUCUCUGCAAACUGCACCAUACACCACCAACUUAAAGAACUUGACAACUCAGGGCUCCAGAGUAACGUAACACUUUAAUAGUUGAAUAAAUAACAGCCAAUACUGUACAAUAGGCAACACGUACACUGUACAAAUAUCUCUCCGAUAACACUGUUCCGCAGUAUCAACUCUUGCACUGGCCUCUCCGUCUCGUUCCGGGCUUGCACUGGGUUCAACAGUUCAGGACUGACUUCACACACUAGGCUCGUUGUGUCGGACUCGAUCGCAGAUCAAGAUCAAGACGCCAGUCGUCUCAACUGUACUUGACAGUACUCCGCACUGAACCGUCGUAAUGCUCCGUACAGAACCACACCGCUGAACUGUGCUGUAGUCGACCGUGUUCUGAGCCCCUGUCGUAAACCUUCUCUCGUGAACCGUCUUGACUGGACACCUCCGCUCUUUAUAUAGGGUCCCUACUGGCCUUCUAGAACCGGAUGGAACAUCGCUUGACGUUUCUAGCUUCGUCACAUGACUACAUCCCUCGUGACGCCCCUGAGCUCUGUUCACGACGGCGAUCCUUCCCGAACCGCCCUGUUGACACUCGACUCGGCAGACUGUCGUAACUCGUCACGGUUGACCGCUCGUCUAGCUCUGGCCUGGGGCAAUUAGCCUCGGAUGACUACACUCCCACACUACCCCCUCUGUGCCACCACCAGGUUUAUAACAAUAUAUAUUGGAGCUUCUGCUUACAUAGGCAAUUUCUUUGAUUCUGAAGAUAAGAAUGAGUGCAGUAUAUCAGACUUCUUCACAAAACCUAGUUUCUACCUGUAUAUUUACCACAUCCAUGGUGGGUCUUCUUAAGUUAUCUUUUUGUCUUCUGCACCUCAUCAAAGUGUCCUUUAAGAGUGGAGAAAUUUCCCUUUUUGUUUUACUCUAAGUCUUUUAUAAAGGAUUGGCUAUUAACCAUCCUCCCUGUCAGAAGGCCCUCAUAAACAGUGAUCAUUUAAUCACACCCAUGUAUCACAUGAAACACAGCUCCUUGACCAAGCCCAGGAGAGGACACUUCUUAUUCCUAUAAUGUACUGUGGGAGGAUCAUCACCACCCAUAAGGUCCCCACUGGGAAAUAAUGCUACAGGUGGGACUGGGGUUAGUAAACCUCUUUUAAAUCCUCAUCAUGUGCAAUGUUUGUUCUCUAAAACAUACUGUUUUAGCUCACUGGAGGCUAUGUUUGCUCUCAUUUUAGCUUAUUUGAUUCCCCUUUCCAUGGAGGCGCCAUACUGAGGAGCUUUUAAUCUGGUUGUCUACACUUAUCUUAAGCAAGGACACUCUACAUUUAUCUUCAGCAAGGGCACAAAUCCUUCAAUCUUUGUCAUAAUGCUCCAGUUGUCUCUUUCAGAGGCCAUCUUUUGCCAGCUGCUUCUUACGUAGCGUUACCGGUAGUCUCAGAAUAUAAAAAUGGAAGGAAAAGUGGCUACACUGACUGGCAUCUAAUACAUACAAAGCUGUUGUCUUCUACAAUGUUUAAAAGGUCUGUUGGAAGAAAUUUGCCACUAAGUGUUCUUUUAUGCAAAAGUUAAGGCUGGAUUCGUUUUUAAGCACCUGACUUAAGGCCUUCUUAUUUAUGCUAUCCAAAUAAGAUUGGCUUUGGCAAAAGAUGUUUUACCUAGCACAGCUUUCAAACAUUACACUGUUCACAGUGGCAUCCACCGGAACAAAUUUAUUUUUGAAUACUUUUGCCAUGGUAAGCCCAUAAUGGGGUGGAGACUUUUGUGGAAAUGUUAAAGAAGAUGCUUUCUAUAGAUUGGUAGCACCUAAGUCUCCAUACAGAAAAUUUGUGAGACACACUGCUCCAUAGAUAUACAUUUUAAUUUAAGAGUCUGAUAGACCUAUUCCUUGUCGUUUGAAGAUGGCUAGGUUUAACAAGCAGUUUAUCUCAUUUUCUGAUCAACAUUGCUUUGAGAUGUGCCAUUAUCAAGGAUUUGUGGGGCGGAGUCAUUUUCUAUUAUGUAAUCUGUAAUAGUUAGGAACAUAGCAAUAAAAGAUAGACUUUAUGAUGUGACAUAAUUGAAACUGUAGAUAACAGUUAAAAAGUGAGGUAGUGCUUUCACUGAGACAAUUCAUAGUAGUGACAAAGACUAGAUCUAGACUGUUUCCCAUCCUGGAUCAAAUGAUCUUCAACCCUUUUAUAUUUGUGGAGUUUUUUUGUCUUUCAACUGAACAUUUGACAUGCAAGUGUUUUUUGAAUCGUCAUUAAUAUAACAACUGGGAAUCAAUAAAACACUUUACAAGGUUUCUAGAUUGAUAGUUAUGAUAGUUAUAACUGUCAUUUAAUUUGUUUACUGAAGUUCCUGAUCACUAUGGGCAAAUAUAAUGGAAUAUUCCUCAUCUAUUUAGUUUUAAUAUGGAAAGUAGGUAAAAAUAUAUUGCAUUCAAAGUGAAUCUUGAUGUGCAUGCAUUUGUACUAGCACUGCUUCAUUUAAUCAGCAUUAUUCCUUAAAUGAUAAAAAAAUAGGUUAGAGCUAUAUAUCUUUCCUCUACAGAAAUAAAUCAUAUGGUCACCAAAGGCACAAAUUAUAGAUUGGUUAUUUUUUAAACAAAGUUAAAUACUUGUUGCAUAUUUGAACAAAUAAUUUCUUUUUGAAACAUUGAAGGUAUGGCUUUGUUCCAUGUUUGUGCAGAUGAUAAGCUCUUUUUGAAAGCAUUGAACAUAUGGCUUGUUGCAUGUAAAUGAGAAGAAAAGAAGAUAGAUACUAAGAAAAAAAAAAUAUAUAUAUAUCAAUUUGAGAUACAUGUAAAUAGACCACUAGUUGUAGAAUGAAUUGAGAAAAUUGGAAAUGCUUAUUUUUCACAGUUUAUUUGUUUUUAAGAAUGUUGCAUUAUUAGAUGAAAUGGAAACUAUUUUUGAUAACAUUGCUGUUACAUUUUUAAGGGACUUGGUAACAUUGCUGUUACAUUUUUAAGGGACUUGGUGAUAUCAGCGUUGGACAUUUUGUUGUAACAAAAAAUGUUAAGCUACCACAAAUUAUUGUCUACAUUGGACAUUGUGUUGUAAGAAAUGUUUAGCUAUGGGUACCACAUAUCAUUGACUACAUUGGACACAUCAUUGUACUUUACAAAACUUUAACAUUUCAAUUUUUGUUUCAUACAUCAAAAGUUAUAGUACAGAAAACAGCUUCUGUAACAGCCUUUUUUCUUUUCCUUUUUUAUUCAAAAUAUCAAGUAUUGGUAGUUGAUUUGCUAUUUACUGAUAGCUUGUAAUUUAAUGUCAAGAAAAGGAAUUCUUAUCUUAUCUUAUUGAAAACUUAUUUACUCAUACUCUUUCUUAUUAGAUUUUAACAUUUUUAUAAGCCACUUGCAUAAACAAAGUUUCUUUUGAUACGCAUCAAUUUGUCCUGAUUUUGUUUUUCACUUAAUUUGAAAAACCUUUAAAAAAACAAUAACUUUCUGUCUGACUUGCGUUGUGGCAACUGUUGCACUUGUACGACUGAUGUUUAUUGUUGUGCAACUGUUUUGUAGAAUGGACUUUAGUGCUAAUGUUUGACUUUUGUUGUGUCAUUGAUGCACCAUUUUAAUGCUUAUCUAAUAUUCAUGUUGAGGUGAGAAAUUGAGUAAGGUGUACUGGGUAGUUUUAGUUUGUGAACAGAUUAACUUUCAUUAUUGACCUCUUUUGAUAAGGCCCAUCAACACCCUAAUACUUAAAUGUAUUAGCAAAACCUUUACACAUUUGUAGUUUCUUGUUUAGAUCAAAUUAAUAUCAUAAGUUAGUAUCCUACUUUUUUCAGCAAUUUUUCUUAUAGUGUUUUUAACUAGUGUUAUGUUACAUAUAUUUUUGUCUUUUGACACUUGUGUUUUUGUUAAAAUACAAUCAUAAUAAAUAAAAAUAUGCACCAUAAAAGAACUUCAAUAAAUUAAGUAGUUACCUAUAAAAUUCACUGUCACUUUUCCCAUUCUAAUAAAUAUUCAAAUGAAAUAGAGCUUCAUUAGAAAAAAAAAGUUGAAUAGCAACUGUCUUAAAAAUUGUAUCAUUGCGUAUCAGUCAAUUAAAUUACUGGUAUUAAAAAUUUCUUAUCUCAUUUGACUGUAAUCAUUAAUUAAUUAAUUAUGGUACUUUAAGAAUCUCAUAAUUACAUUAAUAAACAAACAUCUACAUUCUAACUUCUUCCUCUGUAUCCUUUUUUUUUUUCAAUACAUUUGCAGUACUGACCUUCACAACAUGCUACACUCAGACCAUAACAAGUUUGAUUUGUAUUGAAUGUCCAUCAAAUGACAUUUUUUCCCAUAUAUGAUUCUAACAGACUCCGAUGAAAAAUGAAACAUCAAUAACAUUUCUACCGGUAUAUUAGACAACAAAAUACAACAAAUAUUUAUAUAAUUUUCACAAUUUCAAUAUUUUACAUUUUAGGAUUAGUACAUUUAUCUCAUGUCUUAAGUAAUUUGGCUUUGGCAGCCAUGUAUUCUCAUUGCUCUUUUAUCAAUAGCAGCGCAAAGUAGAUUAAUACUUUUACAUAGAAUAAUUAUGAAUAAUUAAUUAUUAUACCAACUAGAGUUAUAUGUUCCUAACAUUCUCGUACUUGUGUAAAACCAAAACCAUUAUUUACAUAAUAAUCUUGAAUGUAAGAAUAUUUAUUUUUAGAUAUUCUAAUUUCCUCAUCUUGAUAUUACAUUUCUUAAGGAAAGUAUCCACGUACUUUGUCUUUGUCAAACGCUGCACCCUUAUAUUUUUAUUGCCCUUAUGUAGCUCUCAUCUCUUUUUUUUAAUGUAUUUUAAAAAGUUUUAUUAAUUUUCUUUAUCAGCUCCUUUUCCCUGCCCUCUAAUGCUGUCAUUGCCCUCUCAAAAACAAACUUUACCAUUACCUCCCCAUUCCCGGAUCUAGGGGAAACUUUUCAUAAGUAUUCAUUAUACCUGAUAAAACAUGAAUCAUUGAAAUAAAUUAAUCAAUUAGUUCAUUAAUUAUUGGUGAUUAAUCAUUUAUUUGAUAUCAAAAUAAGGGAAAUGAAUGCUACUUAAUGAGAUGUGGAUGUAUUUAUGGAUUUAAUUAUGUUUUGACACGUUUUUCUACUGCUUCCCAUUCUCAGAUCAAGUUAAAAUUUUGCAUAAUUAUUCAUAGUUGAUGCCAAUACAUGAAUCAAUCCAAAUAUUAACCAAUUAGUUAAUCACUUAGUACUAAUUAGUUUAUUUUUUUUAAUAUAGCAGAAAGGGAGCUAAACCCUGUCAUUUUUUAGAUAAAUGACAAUAGUUAGCUGUUCUUUUCCUUAGAUAAGCUUUGCAUUUCUAUUGCUAGUUAUCCAUUCACUUCUUAUUCAUAUCUAACUUCCUUUCUCUAAUUCUUUAUUUAUAUAACUUAUCUUUCUCAGGAGCCAGCCUUUUUCUACCGAUCUUUCUUGUACCAUUAUCUCAUAUCUGGACCUUCCUUCUCUCUUCAACGUCUUCUAUGCCAGUGUAUCUAUGCCAGUGUAUCGUAUCAAUAUUAUUCACUAUCUCAACUGUCUAUAGACAAGAGUUCAGUGAAAUCAUAACACAUAUGAUUUUAUUUUGUAUGGUAAGCCAUUUGUUGACAUAUAAGUCUCUUUAACCCCCAAUACUUUUUAUUACUGGUACUUUCAUUUUAGAAACAAUUACAUUAACAAAAACAAACAUCUCCAUCCUAUGUACAUCAAUAAACACAAACAUCUCUAACUGUAUACAUCAAUAAACACAUCUCCUACUAUAUAGAUCAAUUAAGACAUCUCCGAACUAUUUACAUCAAUAAACACAUAUCUCCCUACUAAAAAAUUAAAUGAAUACAAACAACCUCAUACUUUAAAUAUCAAUAAACACAAACAUCAUUAUACUAUACAUAUCAAUAAAUAUGAACAUCCCCAUUUAAUAUACAUCAUUAAGCUCAAACAUCUCCAAACUAUUUACAUCAAUAAAUGCAAACAUCUCCAUACAUCAAUACACACAUAUAUCUUCUACUACAAAGAUAGCUCAAACAUUUCUGUAUCAAUAAACACAAACAUCUUCAUCCUAUAUAUAUAUAUAUAUCAAUAAACAAUUAUUUUCAUACUGAAUUUAUAAGUGGACUCAAACAUCACUAUACCAUGUAUAUCUAAACACAAGCAUCACCAUUCUACAUGUAUCUAAACACAAACAUAUCCAACUAUAUUGUAAUAAUGGAAUUGUGUGUGUUAAUAAUAUUUUAGUAAUAUCAGAACUAUGUCUUCUGACCUAAAUUCCACCAUGUUGUCAGAGAUACUUGUUUAAUUGAAGAUAUAACAGAAAUCCUAAAUAAAAUUAAACACUUUUAAUCCUCAAGUUGAAAUAUACACACAAUAAACACAUAAUAAAACCUGAUUUCAAUAGUACAUUCACUAAACACAUAAUAUAACAACAGAAAAUUAAUACUUAUUAUGAACCUGACUGACCAUUUUUAUCAUCUUCUCUUGUUUAUAUAUCCUAACUAAAAUUGUCUUCUCUAACUUAGGAAAAAAAAUUUUUGUAACUUUCUUGGCUACUUUCUGUACUAAUGAAAUAAUUUGUGUUUAGUUUUAGUAGUAUGAGAAAUGUAUCAUAUCUUGUACAAACUAAUGUGUAGGGAAAAUCCUAUUUACACAUCAUGAGACCUUGACACAUACAUUAUAUAAUAUAUAUAAACUCAAAACAUCUACAUACUAUAUAUCAAACACUAACAUCUCCUAUAUAUACUAGCAGGAUAUGACCUAAGGAGCUAUGUCAGCAUGGCUAUUCAACCUAGGGUCUUCAGUUUAUUGUUAGUAUCUAAGAAACAUUUAAGCAAAGUUUUAUCAAGAUUGGUCAAAUGAUUUUGAUUUUUUAAUAAAACUUUCAUACAUAAAUUAUACUUUACAUACCUUAUAUUAUUAGUUAUGUCAACCAAUACAAACAUAUUUAUAUUAUUUGUCUGCUUCCUGUCCUGUAAUAAACUGGCUUAAGUUCUUGUAUAAAGUUAGAAAAGAAUUCAUUAAUAGACUAAACAUUAUUUCAAAUCUUAUCUGAAAUUCAGUCUUGUCUCUGCGGCAGUAUGUCAUAAAGGUCUUCUCAUUACAUUUGUCAUUAAUACCAGUAAUGGAUUAGGUAGAAGAGUUUACUAUAAAAUACUUUAAAACUAAUCCUGCUUAUAGAGUCAUCAUGACAUGUAGGUUAUUAGUAAAUCUUCAAACAACUCUAAAGCAAAAGUAAACAUCACAGUGUAUCAGGAUAUUUGGCUAACAACCUGAUCCAUUGUGUUCUAAGAUAAACAAAUGUGAGACAAGCCCCUACCAAAAAAAAAGUUUCGAUAUCUCUAAGUAUCUAAAAGUACAGAUGACUCCAGACUACUGAACUUGAAAUAGAGAAUAAUUUAUCCUUUUUUUUUUAAUGAAGCAAUUAUUUUUAUUAGUAAUUAGAUUGUUCAAGAGGUUUAUUCUAAUAUAUACCAAUUGAAGUUUUUACAUAUCAAAGUUUCAAAAUGAUAUCUUCUUUUAUGAAAAUUGUUCAACUUCUAAACAUACAUCAUUUGUUGAUUUAUCUACUUAGUCAAUGGAUUAUUCUAAACAAAUCAUAGCAACUAGUAACAUAAUAAAAUCUUAGGUGGUAUUUACAAAUAUAUUUUUUGAAGUUAUUGACUUAUUCAGGUUGUACUUUCCUUCUUAGUUUAAAUACAACUAUUGGUUGUAUUAUUUGAAUGUCAAGGAACUCCUCUAACCCUUUACCACUGUCUAGUGGAAUCCCAUGAUGCUUGUCUCUGUUUGUUUAUCUUUGACAGUCCAGCUUGUCUUCAUAUUACUAAACUAAUUCAAUGAAAAAGGAACAAAAUGAAAAAAAAAAUCUAAACAUUGACAAUUAUAAAAUAGAUCAUGUUGUUUUCAAAUGGUUGGAUAAUUUAUAUUUAUGCUAUCUUUUGAACAUUACUUAGAAUUUUCACUAAAAGUAAAUAAUGGGUGAAUAGCCACGGGGAGGAGGGAGUUAAUUUUAUGUGAAAAAUGAAGACAAGCUGGGGGUGGUGGAGAGCACAGUCAGACAGGGGUAGACAACUUAGAAUUGAGUUGUAUAGCUCUGACAUCUGACACAAUUUGGCCUAAACUUGAAAACUAAAAGUGCUCGUGGGAAUUUCACUUAAAAAAAAAAAAAGAAA